rnacentral:rRNA from 1 species
AACGCGAAGAACCUUACCAAGGCUUGACAUCCUCCUGCCGGGCUCGUAAUGGAGUCUUUCCCUUCGGGGACGGGAGAGACAGGUGGUGCAUGGUUGUCGUCAGCUCGUGUCGUGAGAUGUUGGGUUAAGUCCCGCAACGAGCGCAACCCUUAUCCUUAGUAGCCAGCGAGUAAAGUCGGGCACUCUAGAGAGACUGCCGGGGUUAACCCGGAGGAAGGUGGGGAUGACGUCAAAUCAUCAUGCCCCUUAUGUCUUGGGCUACACACGUGCUACAAUGGCUGCGACAAAGGGAAGCGAAGGGGUGACCUGGAGCGAAACCCAAAAAAGCAGUCCCAGUUCGGAUUGUAGUCUGCAACUCGACUACAUGAAGUCGGAAUCGCUAGUAAUCGCGAAUCAGCAUGUCGCGGUGAAUACGUUCCCGGGUCUUGUACACACCG